rnacentral:tRNA from 1 species
UUAAUUAAAGCCAAAAAGAGGCAUAUCAUUGUUAAUGAUAUAACUGAUUAAAUAAUAUCUAAUUAAA